AUCCCUGUGCUCAAGUUCUUCAGGAGCACCUCACUGUCUCCCUCUGCCCACCCACCUGCACCUGACAGCUGUGGGCUGUGCUCUCAGGGAGGCACCGUCAGAUGCUACCAGACUACAGAGGAGAGCACCCUCAAUCCUGACUGAAGGUUUGGGAAAAGGCUGCUCAGAAGAGGUGAUACUUGAUAUGGGCCCUGGAGGAGGAGAAGCAGUUUGAGAAGACAGCAGUGAGAGAUGGCAUCCGGGCAGGCGAGAAAUGCAAAGGGAAGAGAGGUCAUCCAGGACAAAAGUACAGAAUGAAAAGAAAAAGCAACUAAGCACGAAAUCUUGGAGAAUGUCCUCAUUGAAGGGUCCUGAGCACCAAGGGUACAGUCAGAAAUGAUGAAUCCAGAAAUGAUGCCCUCCAGAACUUCUGGUGAGGAAGGCACUCAGGAAAAUGCAGCACCCUAUGGAGGCCCAGAAAGGAGGGCAUUCAGGAAGAACACAGUCUGAUGGUGUCAAGUGCAGCGGAGGCUAAGAGCCUCAGUGCCUCCUUCAGAGAUGCGGUGGAUAUUAGCUUCUGUUGUAUCCUUCAUACAGAACCUGGUGCUGAGAGACAGCUUCUUCUUUUUUUUUUUUUCUUUAAACUUUUCUUAAGACUAGUCAAGUACAGUAUCAAGAAGACGGGAAAGAGUAGAACAAGGAAUUGGAUCCGUAACUGACUGUGAACAAUCAAUUGAGGUAACUCAUUACCUUUGAACCAACCUGGGAGGCAGCCUUGUGACUCACCUCAAUCCUCAAUCUUCUCAGCUAGUUCACUUUGGCCUGGCUCAGGGGCUGACCUAGAAUGAUCCUGUCCAGAAGGACCCUGGAUGUUCUUAGAGACACAGACUGCUAGGGCUGGCAGGGACUUUUCAUCCAAUUCCUCUGUGACAGAGGAGGAAGUGGAGGUGCAGAAGGAGAGGUGAGCUGCCUGUGGUCCUUCAGCUUACUAAUGGCAGUGUUAGGACUGGACCUGAGGGCUCUUCCCUCCAGUCCGGCGCUAUUUAUUCCAUGACAGUGCCUCUCAAACUGUGUUCUCACAAGCAGCUAGUGCUCAGGCAGCUGGACUGAGGCCCUGCCUGCCAAAUCAAAUAUUGGAGGUCUUUCUCCAAUGUGCAGAAAAAAAAAGUAAUUAAUGGGUUAAGUUUCCUUAGGGUUAAAUUAUUUUUCCAUUAAUGCUUCUUAAACCAUUGUCACCUGCUACCAAUUGUCUACUAGCCAAUGCAUGCAGGCAACAAAACAAAAGGAUAAGCCACAAGUAAAUAAGAACAAGAACAACCAAAGCCUUGGAAACACACCAUCAUUCUUAAGUUAAAGGCUUAAAAAAAAAAUAGAGGAAGACUGCUAUGACUGUGGACUUUCUAUUGCAUUCACAUAAUAAAAUCAUGCGACAUUGUUUUGAAUUCAAAUGCUAAAAGUAAA
rnacentral:lncRNA from 1 species